rnacentral:rRNA from 1 species
AAACUUGAUUUUAAUUUAUUAAAAUAAUUGAAUAUAAUACUUAUAUAUAAAUUAUAUAAUUUUAAUAAUUAAAAAAUAAUAUAUAAAAUUAAAUUAAUAAAUAAUAUUAUAAUUAAAUAUAAAUUUUAUUUUAGAUAAAAUUUGUGCCAGCAAUUGCGGUUAAACAAUUUAAAAAAUUUAUUUAAUUCAAUUUCAUUAAUUUAUUAUUAUAUUAAUUAAAAAAAUAUAUUUUAUGGUUAAAUAUAAAUAUUAUUAAAUUAAUUAAAUUUAUAAAAAUUAUAUACAAAAAUUUAUAAAUAAACUAGGAUUAGAUACCCUAUUAUUUAAACAAAUAAAAAUAAUUAAAUUAUUAAAUGUUAAAUCAUUAAACUUAAAAAAUUUGACAGUAUUUUUAAAAAUAAAGGAAUUUAUUAAUUAAUUUGAUAAUACACAAUAUUACAUACUUAUUUUUAACUUAUAUACUUCUGUUUAGAUAUAAAUGUAAAUUUAUAAUCAUAAUUUUUAUUUAAAAAUAAUUCAAGUCAAAGUUUAGUUAUAAGUAAGAUUAACCGAAUUACUAUAUAUAUAAUUAUAUUAAAAUAUAAAAUUAAGUAUAAUAAAUUAAAAUUAUUAAAUUUUUAAUAAUUAUAUAGAAUUUAUUAAUAAAAUAAAAAAAUUAUUUUAUUUGAAAAUUAAAUAAAAAUAUGUACAAAUCGCCCGUCAUUCUUAAUUUUAAGACAAGUCGUAACAAAGUAAGUUUACUGGAAAGUAAACUUAGAAU